CAUCGACAUUUCGAACGCACAUUGCGGUCCGUGGAGAAACAUCCAGGACCACUCCUGUCUGAGGGCCG
rnacentral:rRNA from 4 species